GACAGAGGUCCCGAGCGUUAGGCGGAAUCACUGGGCUUAAAGCGUGUGUAGGCGGAUUGGUAAGUACCUUGUGAAAUCCCACGGCUUAACCGUGGAACUGCUUGGUAUACUGCUUAUCUUGGGCCACUUAGGGGUUACCGGAACAAACGGUAGAGCGGUGAAAUGCGUAGAUAUCGUUUGGAACGCCAAUGGUGAAAACAGGUAACUGGGAGUGUGCCGACGCUGAGACACGAAAGCCAGGGGAGCGAACGGG
rnacentral:rRNA from 1 species